AUUGAACGCUGGCGGCAGGCUUAACACAUGCAAGUCGAACGAUGAUUAUCUAGCUUGCUAGAUAUGAUUAGUGGCGGACGGGUGAGUAACAUCUAGGAAUCUACCUAGUAGUGGGGGAUAGCUCGGGGAAACUCGAAUUAAUACCGCAUACGACCUACGGGUGAAAGGGGGCGCAAGCUCUUGCUAUUAGAUGAGCCUAAAUCAGAUUAGCUAGUUGGUGGGGUAAAGGCCCACCAAGGCGACGAUCUGUAACUGGUCUGAGAGGAUGAUCAGUCACACCGGAACUGAGACACGGUCCGGACUCCUACGGGAGGCAGCAGUGGGGAAUAUUGGACAAUGGGGGCAACCCUGAUCCAGCCAUGCCGCGUGUGUGAAGAAGGCCUUUUGGUUGUAAAGCACUUUAAGCAGGGAGGAGAGGCUAAUGGUUAAUACCCAUUAGAUUAGACGUUACCUGCAGAAUAAGCACCGGCUAACUCUGUGCCAGCAGCCGCGGUAAUACAGAGGGUGCGAGCGUUAAUCGGAAUUACUGGGCGUAAAGCGAGUGUAGGUGGCUCAUUAAGUCACAUGUGAAAUCCCCGGGCUUAACCUGGGAACUGCAUGUGAUACUGGUGGUGCUAGAAUAUGUGAGAGGGAAGUAGAAUUCCAGGUGUAGCGGUGAAAUGCGUAGAGAUCUGGAGGAAUACCGAUGGCGAAGGCAGCUUCCUGGCAUAAUAUUGACACUGAGAUUCGAAAGCGUGGGUAGCAAACAGGAUUAGAUACCCUGGUAGUCCACGCCGUAAACGAUGUCUACUAGCCGUUGGGGUCCUUGAGACUUUAGUGGCGCAGUUAACGCGAUAAGUAGACCGCCUGGGGAGUACGGCCGCAAGGUUAAAACUCAAAUGAAUUGACGGGGGCCCGCACAAGCGGUGGAGCAUGUGGUUUAAUUCGAUGCAACGCGAAGAACCUUACCUGGUCUUGACAUAGUGAGAAUCUCUCAGAGAUGAGAGAGUGCCUUCGGGAACUCACAUACAGGUGCUGCAUGGCUGUCGUCAGCUCGUGUCGUGAGAUGUUGGGUUAAGUCCCGCAACGAGCGCAACCCUUUUCCUUAUUUGCCAGCGGGUUAAGCCGGGAACUUUAAGGAUACUGCCAGUGACAAACUGGAGGAAGGCGGGGACGACGUCAAGUCAUCAUGACCCUUACGACCAGGGCUACACACGUGCUACAAUGGUAGGUACAGAGGGUUGCUACACAGCGAUGUGAUGCUAAGCUCAAAAAGCCUAUCGUAGUCCGGAUUGGAGUCUGCAACUCGACUCCAUGAAGUCGGAAUCGUUAGUAAUCGCGGAUCAGAAUGCCGCGGUGAAUACGUUCCCGGGCCU
rnacentral:rRNA from 1 species